UGUAUCAGCUCCUGCUCCUGA
rnacentral:misc_RNA from 1 species